UAAAAAAGAGGCGUAUUUUUCGGGGGGAAAAAUGUCAACUUUUAAGUUACUGCCAAGGUUUUUUUUGUAAAUUAAUAUUUUCAGAAAGUCAUGCUGAGGUUCGCCUGGACUAUAUUUUUAUUUUAAGAAUGCAAACCAUAGCAAAGUGUUUAGGCCAGUAGUGAAUUGUGCUUGUUUUCUGCAGGGUGUGAGUGCAACUACCUUUCUCACAAAAUGGGGUACAAAGUAUCCUGAAAGCUGUUCAAUGCAAAAAUAUGACCUCUUCAAAAUCAAGGGCUGAAAGCUGUCUUUCUGUAGCCAGUGGCUCAAGAUGUGAGAAGGGCUGCUCUCUCCUUUUUCCGGAAUGCAUUAUAAAACACUUCAGUGACAGCAGGGUUAAAAUGACACUGUAUUGUAGUGUUAAAUCUGUGUGAUGCUAUCUCAGGGCUUUUAACAGAGUUUCUUGAUUUCUAUCCUGCUGUGGAGUUAACACUUUAUAGUGUCAGUUAGUAAGGAGACACUUGCACUUGGAUGUGGAUUUAUGUGCAAAUCCAUAUGCGGGGAAAGCUCUGCAGAGAAUGAUCCUUUGUAUUGAGAAAACAGACACGGUGGGAAGUGUCCUUCCCACCCUUACAGUGAGGUGUUUUUUUUUUAAUUGCGAAGUAAUUUGGAACUAUGAGUUGUAACAGAGGGGUGUGGUGUGAGCAGACUCCUAAGAGGGCCUGAGAGAGGGUGUGUGGCUGCUGUUCCCAUAGACACAUCAGACUGCUCUGAAGGCCAAAACCAUUUGAUUGAUUUCUUUGAGGGAAAGGAGACUCAAGCAGUGUUUAAGCACUGAAUUUAAGUCCAAACAUUUACUGUCAGGAUUACUGCAGUUUGUAGGAAGGGAAUGCAUGUGUGUUAUUUAUUUUUAAAAACAGGCAUUAGACCAUUAUGAGCAGGUCUUGUGGUGAAUUUCUCUGCAAGUCUUCCUCACCUUGGGACAGCACCAGACAUUAAGAUAAUGUAGUCAGUGUUGCUUUGAGGAUGUUUUAGUGAAGCAGCUGUGUCUGUGGGGUUGGGGUGCAGUGGAUGGAGAGAGCACCUCAAAGUGGAUGUUUGGAGAGUUCAGACUGCAGGUUUAAUGCUGGCCUGUGCUGACACUGUGUCUAAGAAAGUAACUGCUGUGCUUUUCUGCAAGGAGAAGCUGUUGUUUGGAAACCUGUGCUGGUUCUGAUUAAAUUGGUAAAGGACUGACAAGAAAAAGUUUAAAAUUUACUUGCAGUUUGCCUACCUUAAGAGAAUUGCUAACCUGGCUGACAAACUGCCUUGUGCAAAUAAGGUUAGAUUUCAAGCUGGUGGGUUCUCUUCAUAGCUCAGUGUUUUUUGAGAUGUUUUGUCUGGUAAUCAGUCUGUUGAUUCAGGAAUCAGAAAGAAAGGAAUGCAUUUUGCAUUUGUUUUCCAUAGCUUCUAAUACUUAAUAUAAAUUGUGGUAAUGAACAUGAGUAUCAGUGACAAGUGAAUCACUUCUGUGUAAAGAUAGAGAAAAACAUCUAACUUUGUGUGGCACUCCAGUGAGUCACCUCUUGGUGCUCCUACCAGAACAGUGAUUUUUAAAGCUAGUUUUCUAGUUUAGUCAUUGAACUUGCCACCUUGCCACGGUGCUUUACAUGGUGUUCAUUUCUAAAGAGACUCUUUGACACUUUGCCAGGAGAACUGUGAGUAAGAAGAGGAAAUGGGGUCUGGAUGCAGCGUGCUCCUUUUGACAGGCCAUGCUGUAGUGUUCAGUAGAGAGACGAAUGUCUGGUUAUCAGUGCAGGAGUGCCUGUGUGUCGUUCCUCAGUUCUGCACUGGGUGAUAAAACUGAGCCGUGUGCUGGGCUGUCGGAAAGCCAGGAGCACAUGUGUGCUGUGGGAGCCUUUCCCAGCUGGGAAGGUGUUCCUGGUAAGCUCUGAAAGCUCACCUUAAAUGGACCUAGACCUCAUAUAUAACAUAGGAUACAGAGACAGUCGAUCAAAGUUUAUUCUUUGCUCCCCUCAAGCAGUAGCGUGACUUCCACUGGCUUCAGAGAAAGGAAUCCGUCAACUGCAUUCUACCAAGCGUUCCAUUUCAACAAGUUACACGAGUCAAAGACCAGCUGGGAUAGAACUGCUGCCUGUGUUCAGAACUCCAUAUUGGGCUUCUGCAGUUUGAAGAGGUGAAAGUGGUCAUGGAAGUAUUUGUUCUGAAACAUGGAACUAAACUCUAAAAUAUGACAUGACUUUUUCUCUUCCUCCUUCCAUUAUGCAUGUAUCAUACAUGAUGCAUAAGUUCAGAGUUUAAUGCUAGUCAACCUUCACCAAAAUAUUUACAGCUUCCUUGUCCAAAAGAGGAGACUUUUUGGCAUUGAGCCCUGUAUCAGAAAACACAUUGUGAAAAUACUACAUUUAAACACAAUUUUGGCAAACUAAACUGGGAAAAGAAGCUUUCUCGCUUACUUUCAUUCUGCUUGAGUGAAGCUGGAUGGGGAACGUGAACUGUGACAAGGACAAAGUAAAUCUCCAAAGUUAGCAUUGAACUCAUGGUGAGAAACUGCAGUGAAGUGCAGCAGUCUUACCUGGCAUGGAUAGGACUUGAGAGAGGUGCAUUACUAAUUCAUCAGUAGCUGCAAACUGUUCCUUUCCUGUGCUUUAGUGAUUUUGAGGGAUUUUUUUAUUUUUUUUUUCCAGCAUUAAGUCAAAGUCCUAGUGAUGUGAUUUAAUGCCUUUAAUGUGCUGCUCUGGCUUGUCAAAACUUCUGCUUAACAAGCUGUGUAGAAUGUAAAUUUUGUUUGGCUGUUGAAGUAUUGAUAACCAUUUCAUCACUGUCUUGGCUGUAUUUGACUUGAAAGGCUUCUCAACUUGCACACUUCAACUGAAUCCUUUAAAGUUUGCUUGGCAACAGUUUGUAUACUGCAGAGUGAUGGUUAUAAGUAAUGCUAAGUGUCCUGCAGGUUUUUUAAAAAUUACUUUGUAUUGCUGGGGUGCUGGCAUUAAACGCAGUUUCAGAGCACGUCUUCCUUUUUCAGCAGAAAGUCAGACAAAUUCAUGUUACUGCUUUAAGCUCUGGAUGAUGCUACUUCCCUGUAUUUAUGGAACAGAGCUGGUAUUUAGGUUUCAAGGACUUUGUUAUUUCACUGGAACAAACUUCAGAGCUUAGAAUACACAUUUGGUUUGUAGACCAAAAGGUCACUUUGUGGUCUAGCCUUUAGCUGUUUCUCUACUUUCAUGUUGCAAAAUAAGUCUUAAGAUGAGGAAGCUAAUUCAAAAAAAUCCUAAAAUCAAAUAAUAAAUUAUUAAGAUGGAGGCUUUACAAAUCUGAGAUUUAUGUACAUUGCCUGAAGCAAAUGCUGGAAAUAUGGGAUAUAGAAGAGCAUUAAAUUCAGGUAGAAGAAUGUAAACAGUUGCCUUUAAAAUAACCUUGCACCUUUGCUGGUGAACUUUUUGUGGUAAAAACAAACGUUUGUGAGAACACAGAAUGAAAUUCACCAGGAUUGAUACAUGUUUUAAGCUUAUAAUCCAUUCAAAUUCCAAAGUCUUUGACAGCAUUUUGCAGGUUUUGCAUUUAUACCCCAGUUACUGGGAUUUUAAAGUCACAUUAGGCAGCUUUCUUUCACUGGAUGACUGAAACGGAGAAGCUUUCAGCUAUAAACUUAUAGUUUAUAAGUUUAUAAACUUAUGUUUUUUUAAACUAUAAGCAGUGAAAGCUAGUGGAGGGAGCCAGGGGCAUCAAUGAGCAGCACAGCUGGUUGUGGGAGCAGGACACAGCAGGGCUGGAACAGGAACGUGGUGUGGGGCUGCUUCUUGUCAGCUCUGGUUUGGGAAGGAAAAUUCGCUGCUGUGGAAACAAAAAGCUCGUGUGACUUCCUCAGAAUCCCUUUGUUUGCCCAUCACAAAAUGUGGGGGUUGACACACUGCAGAGCACCAGGACCGUGAGUCUGCUGGCAGUGAACUCUUAAUUACAUUUUGCAGCUCUUUCAGAAGUACUUUGUGAACCUGAGGGGCUUGACUUGGGAGACUUUGUAAACAGAAAAUCUUUCUGUGUAAUUCUAGUAUAUUUUUCUAACAAAUACGGAUUAUUCCCCUAUGAGUAGCUGUCACUGGGGACCUGCUGAGGUCAGCAGAGCUAGCUGCAUGAUACUGCAAGAGGGAACAAGAGAUUGCUGAAUUGCUCCAGUGAAUAGAAACUAUUUUAUUUUUCACCAUCAUGCUGUGGCAGGAAGAGUGCUGGUGACACUCAAACCAGUAAGUGUUAGGGAGAUACUAGUUGUUACUGACACAUUAGCAGGGAUGUUUUCUUGCACAGUGCUCACCCAGGUGCUGCUGAAGACACAAGUCUCAUGUGUUGGGUCUUGUCAACUGAUGUGGUUUAAGGAAGGGGAGCACUGGUUUCUUGGCAUAUUCACAUGAGUCUGGGUGGUUGCUCUUUUGGGCCUGGGUUGUCUUUGCACAGUAAAGGUGCCAUACCAGCUUUAUCUGGGUCUGCCUAAAGCACAGACAUUAUUGGUAGACUUGAAUUAAAGUAGUAGGAUUUAUGUUUCCAUUGCAUUUAUGUAUGAAGUAUUAAACCUUCACAAUAUGAAUUAACUUAUAAGAUGUGUGUGGGAACUCGUGAGGUGGUGAAUUCACUGCCUCAGGUUGUCACACAUUCUCACAUGCCUUUGACAAAGAAAAAUAAUGCAAGUUUGUAAUACUCACACAGAUCCUCUUUCCAGGCUGGGUAGGUGAUUAGAUUGCAUUGGGAUGCUAUCAUUAUGAAAUAUCUUUAUGGGAUAGAGGCUAAUUAAAUAGGCCUUAACUCUUUCAAGAAUAGAAAAUAUUUCUCUGGAUAAACUGAAUAACUUAACCAUUGGUAAGGCAGUAGCUCAUAAAUGAGGAAACAAUGAGGGGAAAGAAUAAAUGACCACAGGACUUCUGUUCACUUGUAACCAAGUAGAAGCACUCCAGCGUACCUUACUGGUGUUUACAGAAAAGUUAUUUGAUCAUUUGAUUCAAAGCAGUAACAGCAAAAGGGAGAGAAGAGCUGGGGGUGGUCACUUGACUUGGGAUUGUGUCAGACUUUUGGUAGUGCCUUUCCCACUCACAGUGACUUAAAGGGAAGCACUUGUGGUUUCCAGGAGGAUUUGUCUUGCAGAAGCUGUUGGACAGAGCAUUGGUGUCCCAUGUCCUCUGCCCUGUAGGAUCAGCUGUGAGAUGAGAUACAUUUUAUGCAUCUAAAAAGCAAGAAAAUUUCUGCCUUCUGGGAGUCUUUUGGGGAGUAACUUGGUGUCAAGAAAUUCCUUAGAAUAAUAGUAUACAGAUAAUCAUUAAUAGAGCUGAACACAGAAUGUUUUUUGUUACUGAUUAAAAAACUUCAGAAUUAGCUUACAUCAUGCUGUCAGUAGGAUUUCAAUCUCAUUUCAGUGUGAAACACUAUUACCUAGUUUAGUGCUUGAGUGUGCCAAAGUAGGCUCUGUGUAACUCAUUCCUAAUAUAUCCAGCAUUGGUGUAAAAUACACAUGUUACUGAGGUCUGUGAAAUGAACCACUGUGCUUUUUUUAAGCAUACAGAAUGAAUUAAGCUGCAAAUACCUUUGAAGUUGGAUUCUUAGUCUUUUUUUACCUAGGUUUUGAGGUGAAUUUGGAAGGUGAGUGUAUGUUUCUUGGGAGGAUGAUAGUUGUAUCUAAUGGCAUUAAUGGUGAAAACAGCACACUGACUGCCAUAGCGCUUGUUGAAUUACUAAUAGAAAUGAAUCUUGGUGCCCAUGGAUAUGAGGUGGUAUUGGAGGCUGUGGCCAUUAGCAAGUUAACAUUAAGACAUUAACCUUUUUUUUGUAUGAGAAGCAGAAAAGACCUUGGUGUUGUGCAAGCCAAGUGCUUCUCAGCAAUAAUAAACACCAUUUUCAGUGCAAAUCCAAAGCAGAGCCCCAUACCAUCUACAGUGGAGAAAAUGAACUCUACUCCAGCCCAAAGCAGCACAUUUUCUUUAUUCCAUAGUGUUUACCUCAUGCUCAGGUCGCACGCUCUCCAGUACAGCCUCCUUAACCACCACCCCUUCCCAUCCUUUGCUCUUUUAAUGGGUGCUGUUCCUGUAGUCUGUGCACCAGGCCUGCAGCUUGUCCACAGAUGUCCACUGAGAUAAUUUAGUCUGUGAUUUUGGGCUCCAUCUCUCAUGGUGGUCACUCAGGACAGGAGAGGUGUGUGUUGUGUGGAGCUCUUGGACACGGAAGCUGAGUUAGGCUGGCUCCUGCAGCCUGCCUUGCUGUGCUCUUCACUACACACUGCCAGGCAGUCUCACACUCUCCCCUGCUCUAGCACAGCACCCACAGAGACAGUCCUCCUUGAACUUCUCCAGUUUGGGUCCUUCCCCUGGGCUGCAGCUCUUCAUGAGCUGCUGCACCAUUGGGUCCUUUCCACAGGGUCAGUCCUUGAGGAACAGGUUGCUUCAGAUACUUCCAACACCUGCUCCAGUGUGCCAGAGGUUCUGCCAGGAGCCUGUCCCAACACAGACUUCCCAGGGCACCAUGGCCUCUUUCAGGCACCCACCUGCUGUGGGGCUGGGGCUCUCCAUGCACUGCAGCUCAGUCUCUGCUGCCCCUUGACUCAUCCACAGGUCACAGUCCUGCAGCUCCAGCCUUCCCAGUGUGUCAGUGCUGCCAUGGGCACCUGCCAGCCCAGGCACAUGCUAGUGGCUGUUAUCAAGUGUUCCAGACACAGCAGUGAGGUGAUAAGAGCAGUGGGGCAGCAGUGAGAGCAAAAAGUGGCCACUAACAAGCAAUGGACUCAAGCAGACUCGAGCAAGCAAGCCCAUGGCAAGCGUGGGAGGUUCCAGGCAAUAACUGCACAGAAGGAACAGCUAUCCAUUCAAUCUAGAACAUCCCAGUCGAAUCUGUCCUUACUUCAAACCCUUCCAACCCCAUGUUGAGUGCUGUCUUGGUUUAAUCCUGCUGGCACUAAGCCCCAUGCAGCCACUCAUUCAGCUCCCCCUCCUUCCAGAAGAGGAAAAGUGAGAGAACUUGUCAGUUGAGAUAAAGAAAAUUUAAUAGGAAAAGCAAAAUCCACCACCAAAAUGAGUAUUUCUCUGACAAGAUGGGGUCUUGUCUACCUGGUGCUUAAGGAUUUGCAAGUUGAGGCAUUGGCUCUACAGUGGAUGGUGCACUCACAGAAUGUGUCACUCUCACUUCAUUUGGUCAUCCAAAAAGACUUUAUUUAGGACAUAUUUGGGGUUUCUUCCUGGCCUUUUCAUAAGGACUGGAUUGUAUUUAUAAAUGUCAUUCUGCCGCCAUGGGAUAAAAUAUUUUUAUGCAAACUGGAAUUUGAUAUCAAGAGUUUAGCAUUUGAGAAAAGUAUAAAAUUUUAAGAUUUGGCAGCACAUUUGGAGUUCCCCAUGAGAGCAGCUGUCACUGGAGGGCUCUGCUCAUGAAUGUCCCACAGGAGCUGCUGUUGGGAGCACUGUCAGAUUAAUAAAGAACAAAAACAUGUGGGAAUUCUGUAGCAUCUAAUUCUCAUCUUCCUUCAGAAAGUGAUAGGACAUACAGUCAGCUGAUUUUAUCGCGAUGACAAACUGGGCACCCUGUGUCGGUGUGGAGCUCCUGCAGGGUGUGGGGGGUGUGUGGUCCCAGCCUGUGCCUGCUGAAGCUGGGCUGGGGACAGGGAUCCAGGCUCUGUUUCUGUCUUGGCACAGCUGCUCUGCAGAUGGGGGCAGCAAGAGCCUUACAAAGGAGUGUAUGAAGCUGCUUAGAGCUUUCAGCAGUGUUGGUGUCGUGCUGAGUGUGGGGUCUGUGUGGUAAGGCAGUGCUUUUCCCAGCUCAUUCCAAUCCCUCUGCAGGGAGGGACAAUUCCUACACCCACCCAACAGGCAGAGGGGAGCUCACAGCAAAAGGUGUGCACAGGGAGGGCGCCUCUGCAGCUCUUUGGGAGGCUAAGGGAAGGCUGCCUGUCUUUCUUAUGGAACUGCUGGAAUGCCUUUACUUGGAGUGAUAUAGCAGGGUUCAUUUUUUAAAAUAAUCACACUACAAAAUAGCUGAAACAGGGAUAGAGCAAAGUUCCAAUCUCAAGUUUGACUAGACAGGUAUUGAUAAAAGUUCUACGAUUGUGCUGCAAAGAUGGGGAAGUAGAUCCCCCUGCCAUGGUUGGUGUUUGCUUUAAUUGUUUUAUUUAAUUCUCUUGCUGUUACCUCUUAGAGCUGCCUCAUCUGACCUGUAGGGUGGUGUCCAUAAAGGACUGUGAGAGGACAGGGAGUCUUGGGGAUUUUGUGGUUCAUGGACACAGAUACUUCUGACAGUGCCAGAUGACUCUGAUGCAUGUUAAUUCAACAUGGAAAGGAAUACUUCCCUUGGCAUGAGUUAUAAAGAGCUUUUAUUCUGAGGAGGUUUACCAUAGAUAGGGUUUGAAAGAGGCUUAGAAGACAAUAAGAGACUAGAACAGUUUUCUUCUGAAAUGUGUGUUCAGGGCUUUUGGUUUGGGUUUCAAGAUUGGUUCAGUAGAAAUAGAGGCUGUUAUUCCCUCAGUCUGCAAACCUGAUGCCCUCUGCUUGUAUAAGCCCAGUGCUGGUACUGACAGUUCUGUGGGAGCCCUUAAAAUUAACUUUUCUGACCAGUAUCACUCUUCAGGAGCUGAGCCAUGUUUCACAUCUGUGACUAGUACUACUGACCACAUUGCCAUACUCUUUGUAAAAAGCCUUGAGUGGUUUUUUUAUUAACACUUGUGUUUGGUGAGUUGCACAAUUCCAGAGAGGUGAGUUUUCCAGCAUGACUGCAACCCUUGCAUUUUCCCCAUGUUAACUCUACUGAACGUGGCUGCACACUGCUGAUAGCUGUGUCCAUGGCUGGGAGUUUUAUCAGCAGCUCUCACUGGUGGGGCUGUCACAGCCCAGGAGCUGCUGUGUGUGUCAGGGACCCCUGAGAGCCAGGGUGGGAGGGUAGUGUGGAGGGUGGGGAGGUGGCUGCCUGCAGGCUGCAGCUUUGCAUGCCCUGGGGAGAGCUGCAGCUCCUCUCUGAACAGAGAAACCAGAGUCUGGGGGAGAUCAGGGACACUCCUGGCCUGCUGAAAUCCAGCUCCAGAGCUGCGAGUGAGGAACUGGCUUGUGUGCCUGUGGUGGGACUUGGAACAGACCCUGGCUAUUGGGGGCUGCAUUUCCAUCCUGCAGCAUUCAGAGAUGCAGUUUGGGAGUGAAUACACAUCCUCACAGCGUGCUCUGAGGUGCACCAGUGUGUCUGUGGAACAAGCCUGGCCUUAGCUGUGACCCAGGGCCAUGUGUUUGUCAGCUGUCAGGAGGAUCCGGGGAGGAUUCACUGGGAGCCAGAGCGGCCACAGGCUCAGGGCUCUGGUUGUGUCUCACCCUCCUGCUGGCUGCUGCCACAGGAGCUCCUUGCCUGGAAGGUGGACUCAAGUGAAUCCAGAGAACAGUGCGUCUGGUGCAAGUGUUGUUGCCAUUGACAACAAAAUAGAGCAGGCAAUGGAUCUAGUGAAAAGCCAUUUGAUGUAUGCAGUGAGAGAAGAAGUGGAAGUCCUGAAGGAACAAAU